GCGCGUAAAUUAUCCAAUCACAAUUCGUGGAGAUAGUGACAAGAAAUACUGGUGUAGGGCCUUAACGGUUCUACGAUCGGAAUGAGUACAAUUUAAAAACCUUAGCGAGGAACAAUUGGAGGGCAAGUCUGGUGCCAGCAGCCGCGGUAAUUCCAGCUCCAAGAGUGUAUAUUAAAGUUGUUGCGGUUAAAAAGCUCGUAGUUGGACUUUGGGUUGGGAUGCGACGGGUCUGGGUUCGCCCUGUUACGGCCUAGCAUUUCCUUCCUUUUCUGGGAAGCGUAUACCGUUGGCUCGUCCCUACGGGGCGGGUCGCGGGUUUCGUAGGGUUUACUUUGAAUAAAUUAGGGUGUUUAAAGCAGGCGAAUCGCCUUGAAUACAUUAGCAUGGGAUAAUAGAAUAUGACCUUUGGUCUGUACUUUAUUGGUUUCUGAGGCCUAGGUAAUGAUUAAAAGGGACAGUUGGGGUCGCUCGUAUUCAAUGGUCAGAGGUGAAAUUCUAAGACCCAUUGAGGACGAACAAAUGCGAAGGCAUUCGACAAGGAUGUUUUCAUUAAUCAAGAACGAAAGUUGUGGGAUCGAAGAUGAUUAGAUACCGUCGUAGUCACAACCGUAAACUAUGUUGACUCAGGAUAUGGGGAUGUUACAUGGAUGACUCUCCAUGCACUGUGUGCGAAAGCAUAAGUAUUCGAACUCCGGGGGGAGUAUGGUCGCAAGGCUGAAACUUAAAGGAAUUGACGGAAGGGCACCACCAGGAGUGGAACCUGCGGCUUAAUUUGACUCAACACGGGGAAACUUACCCAGUCCGGACACAACGAGGAUUGACAGAUUGAUAGCUCUUUCUUGAUUUUGUGGAAGCCGGUGCAUGGCCGUUUUUAGUUGGUGGAGUGAUUUGUCUGGUUUAGUCCGAUAACGAACGAGACCUUAUUCUGUUAAAUAGUACCGCUGCCAAGGGGAUUUCGGUUUCGGGCUUCGGCUCGGGAUCGGGGUUUCCAACCAAUUGGUGGUGGGUUUUUACUUCUUAGAGAGACUCUUGAUGACUUAAAGUCAAUGGAAGAUUAAGGCAAAAACAGGUCUGUGAUGCCGCUCGAUGUCUGGGGCUGCACGCGCGUUACACUGGCAUGUUCAACAAGUAUUAACCAUUUACCGAGCCCGGAGGGGUGCAGGCAAUCUCAUAAAGCAUGUCGUGAUGGGGAUCGUGCUUUGCAACUAUCGCACGUGAACGAGGAAUUCCUAGUAGGGGUAGGUCAUCAACCUGCCCCGAUUACGUCCCUGCCCUUUGUACACACCGCCCGUCGCUUCUACCGAUUGAGCUGCUCGAUGAGGACUCGGGAUUGGGGGGGUAUCCGUUGGCCGCAAGGUUGGCGAGCCCUUCUGAGAACCUGUUCGAAUCUCGUAGCUUAGAGGAAGAAGAAGUCGUAACAAGGUUUCCGUAGGUGAAC
rnacentral:rRNA from 1 species